rnacentral:pre_miRNA from 1 species
GAGACACACUUAUGGGGCAGAACUUGCUUCAGUGGGGCUUUGGUGCUCACUGAGUCUUUCCCUUGAGUGUAUCACU